UGAGGAAUAUUGGGCAAUGGGCGCAAGCCUGACCCAGCAACGCCGCGUGGAGGACGAAGGCCUUCGGGUUGUAAACUUCUUUUUGGGGGGAAAAGAGAGGAUGGUACCCCCAGAAUCAGUCACGGCUAACUACGUGCCAGCAGCCGCGGUAAUACGUAGGUGACGAGCGUUAUCCGGAAUUACUGGGCGUAAAGCGCACGCAAGCGGUUGGACAAGUCUGGCGUGAAAUCUCCUGGCUUAACUAGGAGCGGUCGCUGGAAACUGUCGAGCUUGAGGCGAUGAGAGGGGUGCAGAAUUCCCGGUGUAGUGGUGGAAUGCGUAGAGAUCGGGAGGAAUACCAGUGGCGAAAGCGGCACCCUGGCGUCGUACUGACGCACAUGUGCGAAAGCGUGGGGAGCGAACGG
rnacentral:rRNA from 1 species